UACAGAGGUCCCGAGCGUUGUUCGGAUUCAUUGGGCGUAAAGGGUGCGUAGGCGGCGGGGCAAGUCGGAUGUGAAAUCUCAGGGCUCAACCCUGAAACUGCAUUCGAUACUGCCUUGCUCGAGGACUGGAGAGGAGAUUGGAAUUCACGGUGUAGCAGUGAAAUGCGUAGAUAUCGUGAGGAAGACCAGUGGCGAAGGCGGAUCUCUGGACAGUUCCUGACGCUGAGGCACGAAGGCCAGGGGAGCAAACGGG
rnacentral:rRNA from 1 species